UGCUACGUGGGUCAGACAGCACGUUGGCUGCUCUGACCCAGUUAUAGUUAUCCCGUAUGCGAGAGGAAUAGGUGUAUUACGGUCGCGUGUGUAACAAGUGUGAGAGAUAGGUGUAUCUAGUCCCGUGAGUAACGGUGUUACCUAAAUGUAAACUAAAUGUUGUUGCCUCCUAAAUAGUGUCUCUGAAUGACUCACUACAUGUGUAAGAAGUGGGGAGCGGUGGAGUAGCGGUUAGCACGCUGCGCUACGAACCCAGCGACCCAAGUUCGAUUCCUGCUCACAGAUAACACCAGUGACGAUUAUCUGAACCGGUCCCAGUCCUGGGCCUCCCCUAGGUCGACUCGGCCUCAAAUGGGUACUUGGUGCGGUGUGUAAAAAAGCAUCGCCACUGGGGAGACUGGUGAGGCGUGGUGCUGGCCACCCACCGCCUCAUGUACCGUGCCGGCCUUCCGGCGUGCUCCGCUGGGCAGGGCACGAGGCUGCGAGAUUGAAUCGCAGCCGGGGGUCGACUCCAAGCCGCCAGCAUCCCUUCCAGGGUCAAAAAAACGCACGAGGGACGCUCCAGGAGCAGCCCUGCAAUUGUCCGCUCACGCUACUGCUGCUGGAAGAAAAGAAAGCGACUUAUCUUGGAGCUCCCUCUCGAGGUCAUUGUGUCGUUGCCUCUGCGUGGCCACGCCUCCUGGCCACGUGUUUCCACUUCGAGGCGUUUUGGUUUUUGUCCUCUGCACGUGCCCUGGCUGUCGAUCCGGAGGUGCUGCUUUCACACGGAGGCCGGGCGCACGCGGAAGUUUCCGUGCGCAACCAACGGGAUGGCACGACGUCACAAAGGCGAUGGUCACACGUCACAAAGGCGAUGGUCACGCACGUUUAUUUAUUUUAAUUGAUAACUUUAGGCAAUUUUUUUUACAUUUCACACCAAUUAUAUCACGAGUGUGCCAUCAGUAAUUCGGUACACAAUGGCUCUGU